rnacentral:rRNA from 1 species
GACGAACGCUGGCGGCGUGCCUAACACAUGCAAGUCGAACGGAAAGGCCCUGCCUUUGUGGGGUGCUCGAGUGGCGAACGGGUGAGUAACACGUGAGUAACCUGCCCUUGACUUUGGGAUAACCUCAGGAAACUGGGGCUAUUACCCGAUAGGAGCUCCUGCUGCAUGGUGGGGGCUGGAAAGUUCCGGCGGUUGGGGAUGGACUCGCGGCUUAUCGGCUUGUUGGUGGGGUAGUGGCUUACCAAGGCUUUGACGGGUAGCCGGCCUGAGAGGGUGACCGGCCACAUUAGGACUGAGAUACGGCCCAGACUCGUACGGGAGGCAACAGUGGGGAGUAUUACACAAUGGGCGGGAGCCUGAUACAGCAACGCCGCGUGCGGGAUGACGGCCUUCGGGUUGUGAACCGCUUUCGCCUGUGACGAAGCGUGAGUGACGGUAAUGGGUAAAGAAGCACCGGCUAACUACGUG